AUUGAACGCUGGCGGCAUGCCUUACACAUGCAAGUCGAACGGCAGCACGGGAGCAAUCCUGGUGGCGAGUGGCGAACGGGUGAGUAAUAUAUCGGAACGUGCCCGGUCGUGGGGGAUAACGUAGCGAAAGCUACGCUAAUACCGCAUACGAUCUACGGAUGAAAGCGGGGGAUCGCAAGACCUCGCGCGAUUGGAGCGGCCGAUAUCAGAUUAGGUAGUUGGUGAGGUAAAGGCUCACCAAGCCGACGAUCUGUAGCUGGUCUGAGAGGACGACCAGCCACACUGGGACUGAGACACGGCCCAGACUCCUACGGGAGGCAGCAGUGGGGGAAUUUUGGACAAUGGGCGCAAGCCUGAUCCAGCAAUGCCGCGUGCAGGAUGAAGGCCU
rnacentral:rRNA from 1 species